rnacentral:rRNA from 1 species
GGGGGCAGAGUGACAGGUGGUGCAUGGUNGUCGUCAGCUCGUGUCGUGAGAUGUUGGGUUAAGUCCCGCAACGAGCGCAACCCUUGAUNUUAGUUGCCANCAUUCAGUUGGNCANUNUAAGGUGACUGCCGGUGACAAACCGGAGGAAGGUGGGGAUGACGUCAAAUCAUCAUGCCCCUUAUGACNUGGGCUACACACGUGNUACAAUGGGCAGAACAAAGGGCAGCGAAGCCGCGAGGNUAAGCCAAUCCCACAAAUCUGUUCUCAGUUCGGAUCGCAGUCUGCAANUNGANUGCGUGAAGCNGGAAUCGNUNGUAAUCGCGGAUCANCAUGCCGCGGUGAAUACGUUCCCGGNCCUUGUACACACCGCCCGUCACACCACGAGAGUUUGUAACACCCGAAGUCGGUGAG